rnacentral:rRNA from 1 species
UACGUAGGGUGCGAGCGUUGUCCGGAUUUAUUGGGCGUAGAGAGCUCGUAGGUGGUUCGGUAAGUCAGGUGUGAAACCUCCAGGCUCAACCUGGAGACGCCACUUGAUACUGCUGUGACUGGAGUCCGGUAGGGGAGCGUGGAAUUCCUGGUGUAGCGGUGAAAUGCGCAGAUAUCAGGAGGAACACCAGCGGCGAAGGCGGCGCUCUGGGCCGGUACUGACACUGAGGAGCGAAAGCGUGGGUAGCAAACAGG